AAACGCUUCAAAUGAUUUCAUUCUAAACAUAAUUGUGAAAUGAUAUAAUAUUGUAAGCGGAUAAGUUGUAAGCACUUGGUAAAUUCUUUGAAAAAUAUUUGAAGAGCCAGGCACACUGCCAGCCGAUCGAAGAGUCAAGAUAUUCGCAUUACAGGCCUCACCUAAUCAUAUUUCAAGCUCAAUUACCGAGUCGCACGGUGAAUGGAUCCGGUGAGAUAAGCAUUUGGUACACCUGUCCUACAAUUGACGUCACUAAAGUUUCGCGUGCGUGCGUGCGAGAAACGCGCGCGCGUGCAGGCCCUUGAGAGAGCUGGAGCCAAAAUGAAUCAAACGAAGUACGCGCUGCUUGGCUGUGCACUUAAAUCAGCUAGAAAUUUGUAAACACAAUACAAUGACGCAGUCGCCAACCACUUGAACAGCUGUGCUGCUGACCGUUAUGCGCCGAUGCGCCGCGGCCCGCCGACAGCGACGGCGACUGCGGACAGCGAAGCCAAUAGCCGACAAUGGCAAUGAUUGGAGGGCCGCCAACAAUGACAACAAUGACAACAACAACAACAAUAAUAGUAACAAUAAUAAUAAUA